CUCUCUCUGUCCCUCUUAUCUCUUUCUUCCACAACUCACGAACCACCAGUCCACCAUGGCGGCCUCGGGAGAUUGGAUCAUUUGCCACACUUUAUUUGGGGAGUUGAUGAUUUGCCCUGCUUCAGUUAGAGUUAGAUCAUUUGCCUUAUUUUCUUUCAUCUUUUGAUUAUUUGCCCCAGUUUCUGUCUUAAUCAAUUCUUAAAUUGUUUAGUCAGAAAAUGGAUGUGGAAUGGCCUUUAUGCCUCUAUGACAGUUUUACAAUUUCCCUGCCUAAUCUUCUCUACUUGGUACGACCCCAGCAGAUCAAUCGAUCCAUUCACAACUUGUAUCCCGUCCUUGUGUUCCGGUGUUAGUUGGAGUUGACGUUGCCGUGCCGUGCCGUGCUCGCCGGAGUCGCUGUAGUCACCUUGGUCGCCGGAAUGGUCGUUUAGGCCAUCACUGAUCUGCCUCGUGCUCCAGCUCGAGGUUACACUGCGCCCGUCUCCAGCUCCAGCUCGACGUCAGCUCCGCCGCUGCUCCCGUACACUCCAGCAGCUACUCUGUUGGAAUUAACCACGCGCCCAUGUCCGGCUUGGACAUGAAGCUAGCUACUACGUACAUCCUAUGCAUCCCCUUGUAAUUAAAUAUCAGAUCAGAGAAAUAAGAUAACUGGAUCGGUGUUCUGUGUUUUUCGCGUGAGUGUCCUGUCCGUUCCUUGAUCGAUCCUGAGGGUGGAGCUUGAUCACUAUUUAGCUUAAUCAAGCUAGCAAACCUAACAUUGUUUGGAUUAAGCUAACAUUCCUCUGCCGGCGGGUCGCGUACGUACCUGAGCUACGUGAGUAGCCUCCAAGAAAAUCCAUGCACCUGCCUAGCCGCUUCAAAGCCAGCUUCUCCUACAUGACUUGCCCUGCCUAUGAAAAGCAUCGGUUGAGUCCAGCUUUGCCGGAGAGUACACGGCGAGUCGCCGUGUCGGGAAUGCCACUGGUUGCAGCUUGCCCCCCGGCCCCCUCCUCUGCUCCCAGGUCCCAGCGUACAAGGAGAAGAGAAAACAUGACAGAGGGGCAUAAAGGCCAUUCCGCAUCAAUUUUCUGAAUGAAACAAAUUAAGAAUUCACUAAAACAGAAAUUGGGAUAAAUGGUCAAAAGAUUAAAGAAAAAUGGGGCAAAUGAUCAAACUCUAACUAAAGCAGGGCAAAUCAUCGACUCCGCAAAUAAAGUGUCGCAAAUGAUCCAAUCUCCCGCGGCGGCGUCACUACUCCACCUCCGCCCCCCUCGCCUCCGUGCCUCGGCGCCGGCCUGUCUGCCAGCCCCCUCCACCACUUUCCCUCCCCCAUCGCUGAUUUGCAUCACAGCUCCCUCCUCAUGACGCCUACAUAUGAAUACAUCUUUUGCUGUUGUGUGUCUUCUCGGAUUGAGUAUUGAUCUCAUGUGUGGCUCUAUAUGAAUAAAUCUUGUUUAUACAAAUUUGGGAGACAAAUGCGUGGAUACUGAUGGCCAUUUUUAAAAAACAUUCUGCUACAUAAGAUUGCCGAGUUUAGCACUCGGUAAACUGUGCUCCUAUGCUGAGUUUCUGCACUCGGCAAACCACUGUGCCACAUGGCAUUGGUUCCGUUCCAUCCAUUUUGUCUACGCCAUUUGUUUGCCGAGUUUCAUGUACUUUGCACCUGGCAAAGAUUUUUCCGAGUUCGUGUGAAAAAGAACACGUCAAAGAUAACAUUGCUGAGCCCUAUUCAGCUGAGUCCUUUUUGCCGAGUUUUGAACUCGGCAAAGUCUUUGCUGAGUUUGUUAUCCCCUUUGCCAUGUUUUUCAACAACCCAGUGAAAUCAGCGAUUCCAGUAGUGCACGUGGUGAAUUCUGUAGUCAAUAGAAGGAACUGCAUACCAUCAGAGGCAACAACAGAAACCUCCUCCUCGGCAGGCACCAACGAGCUCCCCGCCAUUCCUAAACAAUGAACGCCACAAGCAAAUGAAUAUGAUAACCAAACGAGCAGAUUCUAAAGAAAGAGCCAAGCAGCUGAGAAAAGGAGGCAAAUCAUGGUGGAGCAGGAACUAGGCGUGCGCAAUGACGAUGAAUGGGAGGCACACCUAGGCCUAAGGGACAAUAACGAAGGUGGCCGAAAAAGUUGAGGAAUAAAUGCUAUAUCGUUGAUCCAUGAGAUGCUAGUUACAGCAAAAACAGAAGGGGAAAUAUUGAUUGGAUGCUGAUCCAGGACCUACGGAUAGCUGCCAACUCUUGUAAGACCUACAGAUAGCAGCCAACUCUUGCAGAGCCUACUAUAUAUAACAAAAGAGAUUUCACUUAAACUGUCAAAGAACAGUGGUAAAUGCCAUGGAAAAACAGAGCGAUUGGGGCCCAUCUUGCGGAACAUAACGCACUGAAUGAUUAAGAUGUUUAUAACUACAAUUGACAUUGUUUAUGGAAUACCAGCAGAAGAAAAAAAGGGAUGGUAGAGCAGUUACCAUUGAAACCAUGAGGAUAGCAAUCAAUUGGUGCAGCGCACGUUCAUACAUUUCAGAGGAUCUCUCCGAAAGAACUUCAAUGCUUUUCUUGUUUUACGGUACCUUGGUUUAUAUAAUUAACUGGCCAUUCCGAUCACUUAUGCAAGUUCUUUGCAGCUCAAUAAUUCG